CCUGGAAGUGCACUAUCUGUGGCUUGAAGGAUGAAGAGACAGCCACGGCUGGAGCUGAAGGGAGAGCAAUCCACUCAGAGGGAACAGCAAGUGGAAAAGCCUGUAGGAGCAGGUUGAAAGGUGCCCUUAAGGUGAUCUUCAUGGCUCACAGUCAAGUGCAGAAAGCCAAUGUAAAGACAGAGGCCAAUUGUUGGAAAAGGUCACUGCUGCUUUCAUCAGCUGAACCAGGGAACAGGCUGCCAGGCAUGUGGCAGACCAGGGAUCAGACCAGCACCCUCUACAUUGGAAGGAGAGUCUUAACCACUGGACU